rnacentral:rRNA from 1 species
GCCAGUUCAUGCUUUUACAGUAUGAAAAUUGGUGAUUUAUAAUAACUUAGCAAAUCGCAAAGUGAAAACAGGCGAUAAAUCAUUCAAGUUUCUGACCUAUCAGCUUUCGACGGUAUGGUAUUGGCUUACCGUGGCAGUGACGGUUAACGGGGGAUUAGGGUUCGAUUCCGGAGAGGGAGCCUGAGAAACGGCUACCACAUCUAAGGAAGGCAGCAGGCGCGCAAAUUACCCAAUUCUAACAGUUUGAGAGAGGUAGUAACAAGAAAUAACAAUACAAGGCAGUUAAAAUGCUUUGUAAUUGGAAUGAUAGAAAUUUAAACCCUUUUUAAAGUAUCAAUUGGAGGGCAAGUCUGGUGCCAGCAGCCGCGGUAAUUCCAGCUCCAAUAGCGUAUAUUAAAAUUGUUGCAGUUAAAAAGCUCGUAGUUGAAGUUCUGCUGAAAGUAACCGGUCUGCUUUUAAUAAAAGUGGUAUCUUGGUAUGUAUUUAGCAAUGAUGUCCUUUGAAGUGUUUUUUACUUUAUUGUAAUAAAGCAUAUUCAGGACUUUUACUUUGAGAAAAUUAGAGUGUUUCUAGCAGGCUGACGCU